UGGGUCGUUAGUUCAGUCACUCUUUGUAACAUCAAGAGCUGCAGUUGGCUUUUAACCAAUUGGUCGAAGAUUCGAAUUUUUCACGUCCCACCCA
rnacentral:tRNA from 1 species